GAACAAGGAUGCUCCUGAGACCGUGAGUGUGUGGGAGCUUGGCGCGGGCAGGAUCUGGGUCUUAAGCUAUUGAUAACGAUGUCGUAACACAGGUGGGGCUUACAGGAGCUCCCAGAGGAACUGGCUUUUGUAGGGACUGUGAGACAAGCUCACCUCUCAUGAACAUGGCAUCCAAAGGGUUUCCUCAGUGGGUGUCCAGUAUCGCUCUUAUUUCUUAGAAUCCUCUUCCAUUUUGUUUUCUUUUUAUUUUGUGUGUUAUGAGUGUUCGCCUGCUUGUACAUAUGUGUACCAUGCACAUGCCUGAAGGAAGUAUCAUAUCCCUGGGAAGUGAAC
rnacentral:lncRNA from 1 species